rnacentral:rRNA from 1 species
GAGGGUUUGAUCCUGGCUCAGAUUGAACGCUGGCGGCAGGCCUAACACAUGCAAGUCGAGCGGAUGAAGGGAGCUUGCUCCUGGAUUCAGCGGCGGACGGGUGAGUAAUGCCUAGGAAUCUGCCUGGUAGUGGGGGAUAACGUCCGGAAACGGGCGCUAAUACCGCAUACGUCCUGAGGGAGAAAGUGGGGGAUCUUCGGACCUCACGCUAUCAGAUGAGCCUAGGUCGGAUUAGCUAGUUGGUGGGGUAAAGGCCUACCAAGGCGACGAUCAGUAACUGGUCUGAGAGGAUGAUCAGUCACACUGGAACUGAGACACGGUCCAGACUCCUACGGGAGGCAGCAGUGGGGAAUAUUGGACAAUGGGCGAAAGCCUGAUCCAGCCAUGCCGCGUGUGUGAAGAAGGUCUUCGGAUUGUAAAGCACUUUAAGUUGGGAGGAAGGGCAGUAAGUUAAUACCUUGCUGUUUUGACGUUACCAACAGAAUAAGCACCGGCUAACUUCGUGCCAGCAGCCGCGGUAAUACGAAGGGUGCAAGCGUUAAUCGGAAUUACUGGGCGUAAAGCGCGCGUAGGUGGUUCAGCAAGUUGGAUGUGAAAUCCCCGGGCUCAACCUGGGAACUGCAUCCAAAACUACUGAGCUAGAGUACGGUAGAGGGUGGUGGAAUUUCCUGUGUAGCGGUGAAAUGCGUAGAUAUAGGAAGGAACACCAGUGGCGAAGGCGACCACCUGGACUGAUACUGACACUGAGGUGCGAAAGCGUGGGGAGCAAACAGGAUUAGAUACCCUGGUAGUCCACGCCGUAAACGAUGUCGACUAGCCGUUGGGAUCCUUGAGAUCUUAGUGGCGCAGCUAACGCGAUAAGUCGACCCGCCUGGGGAGUACGGCCGCAAGGUUAAAAACU